rnacentral:rRNA from 1 species
UCUGCCUGGUAGUGGGGGACAACCUGCCGGAAACGCAUGCUAAUACCGCAUACGCCCUACGGGGGAAAGGAGGGGAUCUUCGGACCUUUCGCUAUCAGAUGAGCCUGCGUGAGAUUAGCUAGUUGGUGGGGUAAAGGCUCACCAAGGCGACGAUCUCUAGCUGGUCUGAGAGGAUGAUCAGCCACACUGGGACUGAGACACGGCCCAGACUCCUACGGGAGGCAGCAGUGGGGAAUAUUGGACAAUGGGCGCAAGCCUGAUCCAGCCAUGCCGCGUGUGUGAAGAAGGCCUUCGGGUUGUAAAGCACUUUCAGAGGUGAGGAAGGGUGCGUAGUUAAUACCUGCGUACUUUGACGUUAACCUCAGAAGAAGCACCGGCUAACUCUGUGCCAGCAGCCGCGGUAAUACAGAGGGUGCGAGCGUUAAUCGGAAUUACUGGGCGUAAAAGCGCGCGUAGGCGGUUUGUUAAGUCGGAUGUGAAAUCCCAGGGCUCAACCUUGGAAUUGCACCCGAUACUGGCAGGCUAGAGUACGGUUAGAGGGGUGUGGAAUUUUCCUUGUGUAAGCGGUGAAAUG